UACGUAGGGACCAAGCGUUGUCCGGAAUCAUUGGGCGUAAAGAGCGUGUAGGCGGCUUGUUAAGUCUUGCGUGAAAUCUCGGGGCUCAACCCCGAGCGGUCGCGAGAAACUGGCAGGCUAGAGUGCGGGAGAGGAGAGUGGAAUUCCUGGUGUAGCGGUGAAAUGCGCAGAUAUCAGGAAGAACACCCGUGGCUAAGGCGGCUCUCUAGUACGGUACUGACGCUGAGACGCGAAAGCGUGGGGAGCGAACAGG
rnacentral:rRNA from 1 species